rnacentral:lncRNA from 1 species
GUCUCGCCCGGGCCGCUCGGGCGCCGCGCCUCCUGUUCCGGGCGCGCGGGGUCGGCCGGCCGCCUUCGCUGCUCCGCCGCGGCUCUCAGCGCCGCUCAGCGCGGCGGGCCCGCCCGGGCUCAGGUGCCCCCCGCUCUCCGGACCUUCUCGCCCGGCCCCGCGUCCCCUCCGCGGGCUUCCCCCGGCGGCCGGCCGGGCUCGGAGGCUCGCGGCCGGAGCGGAGCGGAGUGCGCACGCCGGGGUGGCAGGACUUCGGCAAGACCAACUUUCCGGUUCGGAAGCGGCGCGGGCCGCGCGGCUCCUCCCCUCCUCUCCCUCCCCUGCGUUCCCCCUCCCUUCCACUCCCCCCUCUCCCCGCCCCCCAACCCGCGGGCCCCACCGACUCCGGAGCGCCCGCCCCGCCCGCUGCUGCCACCGGGCCGCCUCGCCCCCGCGCCAGCCCGCCUGGGCCUCUGCGCCGCCGGCGGCUUCUUAAAUACAGGAAAGGGAGGGGACCGCAGGGCCCCGGUGUUCCCCACCCUAGUCCCCCUUCACCACGGGCCACCGGGCGCCAGCGGAGUGGGCAGCGAGCGCGACCGAAAGUUCCAACUCCACCAAACUCCCGCGCGCGGCCCACCCUUUCCCGGGAUUUCGGGGAUGACACGGGGGCCAGUGGUCCUGUCUGGUGUGAACCGUCAGCACAGAUGGCCUCCUGGAGCUUCCCCGAGUCGUUCGCUGGGGGAAGCGGGCGGUGAGCGGCCAGCCCGGGCGCUCCGCAGGCCGCGAGCUCCCGGCAGGGCUGGUGGCGGGGGUCCGCCUGGGGGAGGAAUCCCCGCCUGCUCCAUCGGACCCGGCCUGGCGCGGCUCGCGGCGCUCGGCGGGCUCCCUUCCAUUCUAGAAUCUUCCCGCUUGCUUCCCAGCCCGCGUUCUUCCGCCUGCCUUUAAUUGUAAUUUACAGGAUUAAGGAGUUUGGGGAAGUCGCAGAGCUGCAGCGGAAAGGCAGGGGUCUGAGACUACUUUUGAGAAGAGAAACAACGCAAAACGAUCGCUGGAGGGCCAGAGCCCUGGUCGAAGAAGCAGACACAGGUUCCCACGGCGUCUGACGCCUGCGGAGCAAGUCCAGAGCCAGCUGGACUCGCAGCCUCUGGCCCGGCGGCACCAACUCCUCACUGGGUCAUUUUGAGCGCGCUGUGCCCACCUUUUCUGUUGCGUGUGGACGUGGGGAGGAUCUUCUAAGUCCCUCCAACGAAGGCAAGUGUGAGACUCUGGCCCUUUAUUUGUAAGAAGCAAGCCUUCAGAUUGCAGAAGUGUCGCGCGGGUCGCCGUGCGUUGCGCGAGUGGGAAGAUGGAGGAGGCCGGCACGCUGCUUUCGUGGACGCAAGUGAACCGGGCGUGAAGGCAGGGUGCGAGCUCUGCCCUUGGCCCAGCCCUGCGUGGGCGCCGUCCCAGAUUCCGGGCGGUGCGGGGUGCAGAGAUCUGGAGAGACUUGCGGGCUCCCCAGCGCAGGCUGCUCUGGGAUUUCGUUGGAAGAUCCGGCAGAGCCUUGGAGGAGAGGGCCCGGGAGGCUGUGUGUGCAGCGGAAACUUGUACGAAUGCCCCCACAGCGGAAAUGGUGCGCACGAGUAAUUUCUGCGGUGCACCCUUUUAAAAAUUGACAAGUGAACAAGAUCAAUUUUUUAAGAAAGCAAAGGUAGAAAACAAAAGGCGUGCGACUUCUUGACUGGCUUGUUCCCGCCUUUCUUCCUUCUCUAUACUCAGAUCAGAAACUUUUCUUUAAUUGCUCUUAUUCAGUGCGACAACUUUUAAUAAAAGCAUUUGCAUUUUAAGCCUGAGUUGCAACCAUAGAUUUAUUGCGAAGUGACAACGUGUCUAUGGAAUAUUUUCGCAGAUGAGACAGGACAUGCGCUCUAGUCGUGCCCAGAUUAAAGCGACGCUGGGCCAUGUGCCUGUGUAGUGCAGACUCGGAGGGGCACACACAUACUCGUCACCACAUGACCACUGUCUAUUAAUAUUGUCAUACCUAAACACUCGCAAAAACAAAAGUUGCUUUUCUUCCCUGUAAUUAAAUCUAAUUUGUUAAUUGUC